UACGUAGGGUGCGAGCGUUGUCCGGAAUUACUGGGCGUAAAGAGCUCGUAGGUGGUUUGUCACGUCGUCUGUGAAAUUCCGGGGCUUAACCUCGGGCGUGCAGGCGAUACUGGCAAUACUUGAGUGCUGUAGGGGAGACUGGAAUUCCUGGUGUAGCGGUGAAAUGCGCAGAUAUCAGGAGGAACACCAAUGGCGAAGGCAGGUCUCUGGGCAGUUACUGACGCUGAGGAGCGAAAGCAUGGGUAGCGAACAGGAUUA
rnacentral:rRNA from 1 species